AACGAACGCUGGCGGCAGGCUUAACACAUGCAAGUCGAGCGCCUCGCAAGAGGAGCGGCAGACGGGUGAGUAACGUGUGGGAAUCUACCCUUGGGUUCGGAAUAACUCAGAGAAAUUUGAGCUAAUACCGGAUGAUGUCGCAAGACCAAAGAUUUAUCGCCCAAGGAUGAACCCGCGUAGGAUUAGCUUGUUGGUGAGGUAAAAGCUCACCAAGGCGACGAUCCUUAGCUGGUCUGAGAGGAUGAUCAGCCACACUGGGACUGAGACACGGCCCAGACUCCUACGGGAGGCAGCAGUGGGGAAUAUUGGACAAUGGGCGAAAGCCUGAUCCAGCAAUGCCGCGUGAGUGAUGAAGGCCUUAGGGUUGUAAAGCUCUUUUACCCGGGAUGAUAAUGACAGUACCGGGAGAAUAAGCCCCGGCUAACUCCGUGCCAGCAGCCGCGAUAAU
rnacentral:rRNA from 1 species